AUCAUAUCACCUGAAUAAUUCAGACCAGUUGGCCAAAAGGGCAACCUCUGACGCCAUUGGGAAAUGACUUGUCAACAGUAGCACACAUGGAAGAAGUAGAAGCAGAAUAUAAAGGGUGUAAAACAAAGUGGUAGAGUUGUGUGUUUACAUUGUACACUAAAUGUGAAAAGCACUUAAGAGCUCCAAGAUAACAGCUUGAAAGUUGGAAACCAACAAAGAGACCCGGAUAACUAUUAAAGAACACUGAAAGGAAAAUUUUAAAGGCAAUUUUUUGGAAUAGUCAACUCCACAUUGAAUGAUAAAUAAGAUUCGAAUUAAAAUCUCAUUUGGCGCUAAU